rnacentral:rRNA from 1 species
AGAGUUUGAUCAUGGCUCAGAUUGAACGCUGGCGGUAUGCUUAACACAUGCAAGUCGAACGGUAACAGUCCCUCACCUAGAAAUUUCUUAAAAAAAGAUUUGUAGGUGAGGGAGCUGACGAGUGGCGGACGGGUGCGUAAUGUAUAGGAAUCUGCCUGGUAGUGGGGGACAACUCGGAGAAAUUCGAGCUAAUACCGCAUAAGCCCUACGGGGGAAAACGGGGGAUCUUCGGACCUCGUGCUAUUAGAUGAGCCUAUAUUAGAUUAGCUUGUUGGUGAGGUAAUGGCUUACCAAGGCGACGAUCUAUAGCUGGUCUGAGAGGAUGAUCAGCCACACUGGGACUGAGACACGGCCCAGACUCCUACGGGAGGCAGCAGUGGGGAAUAUUGGACAAUGGGCGAAAGCCUGAUCCAGCAAUACCGCGUGUGUGAAGAAGGCCUGAGGGUUGUAAAUCACUUUCAAUUGGGAGGAAUACCUAAUAGUUAAUAGCUAUUAGAUUGACA